UUUUAAAUGAAGACUAGAACAAAAGAUUUAACAUUUUAAAUUAUUUAUUUAAUUAAAAAUUUUAAUUUAUUUUAAAUGUAAAAAAACAUUUUUAAUAAAAAAAGACGACAAGACCCUAUUGAACUUAACUUAAGUUAUACUGGGGCAGUAAAUUAAAUAUUAUUUUAAUAAAAUUUUCUAUUAUAAUAUCCAAUAAAUUUGAAUAAUUCAGUUACCAUAGGGAUAACAGCGCAAUUAUAUUUAUAAGCUCUCAUUUUAAAAAUAGAUUACGACCUCGAUGUUGAAUUAAUUAUCCUUUUUAAAGCAAAUUUUAAAAAAGGAAGUCUGUUCGACUUUUAAAUAAUUACAUGAUUUGAGUUCAGACCGGUGUAAGCCAGGUCGGUUUCUAUCUUUUAUAGAAAUUUAUACAGUACGAAAGGACCUACAAAUAUAAUUUUAUUAUAAUAUUAGCAGAUAAAUGCAUUAGAAUUAGAAUCUAAUAAAGCUAAA
rnacentral:rRNA from 1 species